rnacentral:tRNA from 1 species
AGCAGCGUGGCUCAGUGGAAAGAGCCUGGGCUUCAGAGUCAGGGGUCAUGGGUUCGACUCCCGACUCUGCCA